rnacentral:rRNA from 1 species
UACGAAGGGGGCUAGCGUUGCUCGGAAUCACUGGGCGUAAAGCGCACGUAGGCGGAUCGUUAAGUCAGGGGUGAAAUCCUGGAGCUCAACUCCAGAACUGCCUUCGAUACUGGGAGUCUCGAGUCCGGGAGAGGUGAGUGGAACUGCGAGUGUAGAGGUGAAAUUCGUAGAUAUUCGCAAGAACACCAGUGGCGAAGGCGGCUCACUGGCCCGGUACUGACGCUGAGGUGCGAAAGCGUGGGGAGCAAACAGG